rnacentral:sRNA from 1 species
GUGGGAAGCAAGAUGAUUCCCUGGUAGGCUCCACGGGGUCUCAGUGGGAAAUGCAGGUGGAGGGACGCAGCAGCCCUGGAAGUCCCGCGGCGCUGCCACGGGGAGGGCUGGACCACCCACUGCGGUGCCUCUCCCUCAGCAGGCACGCCCUCGUCGGCCUGGUUAGAAAAUCAUCUUUUGGCCUCACUGUGCCAGCCUAGUCAGCUCUCAGCUCCCUGAGUCAGGGAAAGGGGUGGAAAAGUGGACAGUCCAGCAGCGCAUGUUCUAGAACCCUCUGCAGAUGCAGCCAGGCCAGCGAGCACAUGCAGGAGGCAGACGGCCACCUUCUUGGGUGUUGAGUGGCUGCUCCUGCCUCAGGGCUGCAGAUGCAGGCUCACAGCCCCCUGGUGAGCCCCGGAGUGGCUGCAUCCAAUCUCCAGAUCCUCUGUCUUCCCAUAAAGGAGACUGAAUCCGUGGUGGUUUCUAGAUCAAGAUUUUUCUCUGAGUAACUCAGGGUUAUUAUAACAUGCAACCUGUGGUCACUUUGAAAAAGCUAAUGAAAAAGCACUUGGAUUUAACUUUAUGUCACUCAAUUUUGGUAUAAAACAACAACAACAGAAAACCAAGAACACCAAAUUUACCGUAACCACAGUAAAAUACGCAUUUGAAUAUUCCGGUAGGAGGGCAGGCAUCCCCCAGGUCCUGAUAGAUCCACUCCAGCAGUCAGGCCUGUGCUUGGGGACGCGUGGGCGGGUUGAGGAUUGAGACGGUCUCUGAUGAUGCUAAAGAAGUGUUUCCUUUCUCUUUCCCCUUUCCCCCAACAGCUGCGGAUAACCGUCUGGUCCUUGUGCACAAAAUCCGUGUCUUACAUCAAAUACCCGAAAGCUUGUCUGCAGGGAAUCACCUUCACCAGGGACGGCCGCUACAUGGCGCUGGCAGAACGGCGCGACUGCAAAGAUUACGUGAGCAUCUUCGUCUGCAGUGAUUGGCAGCUCCUGCGGGUAAGGCGUCCCCCAGACUGGAAUAAAGUUGUCCUGCUGACUGCGGAGGGAUCGAGUGAAGUAGAUCCUUCCAGAUUCCAGGGGAUCUUUGGUAGGAUAUGGAGCAAGGUGAUGUUGUAUUAACAAAGGGCAGGUGCACUGCGAAUCACUUCCAGUGGCACCCGCUUGUGUGUUCAGGAGACUUGGUGAAAAGGACACAUGCCCAGGUGUUUUAAAAGUGAAUAUGCUGUCACAUCUGAGCCCUUUUCCUUGUCCUUUGUGAUGGUGUUUGCGCAUGUGUGUGCCACGUCGGGAGUGGGGGGGGACGUGGAAGUUCACCUUGACUGAGGGCCUGCAUUAGGCAGGGUGCUCUGCCAGGUGCCCAGGCACAGAGGGCACUGCCCCCACAGCAGACAUAUGAACACGAUUCCAGCACAAUCCAUCAUUAAGGUAGAGCAACCUCUGGAAUGCUGUCAGAGCGCAGAACCCGGGAUCCAGGCAGUGCUCUGGAAGGGACUUGUCUGAGCUGGGUCUAAAGGAGUGAGCCUGGCCAGGCAAGGAAAGGUGAGGGGGAGAGUGUGCACAUGAGUGCAGGUGCGGGGAGACCAAGCCACCUUCGGGGGCUGGCCAGGCAAGGAAAGGUGAGGGGGAGAGUGCACAUGAGUGCAGGCGUGGGGAGACCAAGCCGCCCUCGGGGGCUGGCCAGGCAAGGAAAGGUAAGGGGGAGAGUGUGCACACGAGUGCAGGCGCGGGGAGACCAAGCCGCCCUCGGGUGCUGGCCAGGCACUGACGCUGGCACCUGUGGCGGUGCAGCCCCAGCAGCAGCUCUACAGGGAUUUCAUGCAUUUCCAGGAUAGAGCUGUUGAGAUUUUGUCAAUUUCUAUAUAAGGAAAUUAAGUGCGUUAAGAACAUCAGUCAUAAAUGCAAUUUAUUUACGAAAAUAUUUUCCAAAUUUAAUGUUUCCCCCCCUUCCUUUGGAAGCAUUUUGAUACGGACACCCAGGAUCUCACAGGGAUUGAGUGGGCCCCAAACGGCUGUGUGCUGGCAGUGUGGGACACCUGCUUGGAGGUAUGAAGAUGACCAGGUGACAUGUUUGCUUUUGAGAGUUUUUCCCGGAAUUUCAUGCUUUCUGAAUGCUGCAAUAUAGUUUGCUUUAUCUUAUUUCAGAUAACAAGUUGAGCUUUGUUUUAAAAGACAGGGUCUUGCUCUGUCACCCAGGCUGGAGUGCAGUGGUGUGAUCACGGCCCACUGCAGCCUCGACCUCCUGGACUCAAGUGAUCCUCCUACCUCAGCCUCCCAAGUAGCUGGGACCACAAGCAUGCACCACCACGCCCGGCUAAUUUUUGUAUUCUUUGUAGAGAUGGGGUUUCACCGUGUUGCCCAGACUGCUCUUGAGCUUCUGUGUUCAAGUGAUCUGCCAGCUUCGGCCUCCCAAAGUGCUGGGAUUACAGGCGUGAGCCACAGUGCCCGGCCGAGUUGACAGCUUCGGCCUCCCAAAGUGCUGGGAUUACAGGCGUGAGCCACCGCGCCCGGCCGAGCUGAACUUUUAUCAGCGAGCCAUUAGCUUGACCUCCCAAUUUCCCCUUUUUCCUCAUGCUCUCACUGCCUCUCCGUGACUGUCUCAGUUCUAGCUGGCAGUUCCAGCUUUUCCACGGCCACGCAGACAGUCCUGCCAGCUCUGUGCUAUCUGCACCAAUGUCACUCUGCAGCACCCGCGUCUGUGGUGCGUUCCCGGCGACUGGGGUGUAUUCAUUAUUAACUGAAAUGUCUCAUCUGCAGUACAAGAUUCUGCUGUACUCAUUGGACGGCCGGUUGUUGUCCACGUACAGCGCUUACGAGUGGUCCCUGGGCAUCAAGUCUGUGGCCUGGAGCCCCAGCAGUCAGUUCCUGGCAGUUGGGAGCUACGAUGGAAAGGUGGGAAGCAGUGCAGGGCACUCAGGAAGUCCGACCGCCCAGCGGGCCGGGCCCUGCCUCACCUGUGCGUGGUUUCCUUCCUCAGGUGCGCAUCCUUCAUCACGUGACUUGGAAAAUGAUCACGGAGUUUGGGCAUCCUGCAACCAUUAAUGAUCCCAAGACAGUAAGUCUGGAACACGUGUUUCUGCCUGAGCAGGCUGUUGGGGAGGGCGGUGGGAAACUGCUCCUUCACUUUGCUUUCUUGAUUGUGGUUUAUUAUUUAACCGGGCACGUCCAUCACUGUAAACUUGCUACUGUGACAUUUCACGCGUCUGGCCCUGCCCUGGCCUUUGUUCUUCCUCCUCCACACCGCCCAAAGGGUCUGAGGUGGGCCUUGCCCUGGCCUGUCCUCUGCCGCCGCCACCCCAGUCCAGUUGUCUCCUUUGUGGUCUGUCUGGAUGCAGAUCCCUGUGCUGUACAGAGUGGCCAGGGUCUCCUGCCCCCAAACACUCGGCAUCUGCUGUCGUGCCAGGCACUGAGCUCUGGGCCGCAGCCAGAGAAGAAGAGACAGACCCCUGCACUUGCAGAGUGCGGCUGGAGAGACAGGGAAGGGGCUGGAGAGCUGGGUGUCUCCACGGGGUGGCAGGGAGUGGCCACCAGCGAGGGAUCGCAGGCACAGAUGCUGCACCAGUGAUCAGGGACUCGGGGAGGGAGCAUUCCAGGCCAAGGGAACAGGAAAUGCAAAGGCCCCGAGGAGUGGGCCACGCAUCCAUGUGUGCAGUGGGCACUGCGCUGGGAGCCGGAGACAAAUGCUGCCCUCCUGGUGUUGACCUGUAACCGACAGAGCUGAGGGAAAGGCGGCUUGGAUUCGAUGAAGAGGCCAGUGAGUGGCUGGGGCUGCGCGUGCCAGAUCAGCCACUGCCGGGGAUGCAUCCUGGAGGGGUGUUUAAGUGAAGACCAGGAGGAGGAGCUGAGGAGCCGCGUGGUGUCUGGGCAGAAAGGGUGUUUCAGGCAAAGGGGCCUCCUGACGUGGCCAGUGGCUUGUGUGGCUGGAGGCCAGGGCAUCUGGACAGGUGAGCCCGAGCAGGGCUGGCCACACAGGUCCUGAAGGUUUGCCUGCGAUUCCUGCAUUCUCCAAAUCCCUUUGCCACACAGCAGCAGAGCAUGCUUUAAAGGCAUGAACCAGGCCAGGUGACUCCCUUACCUGGGGCUCUUCAGGGGCGUGGGGGCUGCCCGCCUUCCACUGAGCCUGGGCCGCUGUCCUUUGCUUGCCAGGCUCUUGGGCACAGAUGCCCCCACUUCCGGUCUGUGUCUGCUGCUCCUGGGGCCUCUGCUGUGUUGGUGCAAGUGUUCUCUGUAUCCUCUAAUCACGGAGGGAAGGCUGAGCCCGCUCCCUUGCUGGAUGAUGGUGGCUGCAGUGGUCUCCCGUCUGUAAUCACAGGGCACAUAUUUGCUGCCUGUGUCUCAAAGGGUGGGCUCCUCAGCAGGACACGAGAGAGGGUGGCUGGGUGAUCUCAGCUCUCGGGACUGCGGGGUUCGUGCUUCCAUCUCUCCCGGUGGCAGCAGGACCAGCUGUCAUGGCAGGCACGCCUGUUGACCAUGCGCUGUCAUGGGCAUUUGCCACGUCCAUCCUUGGCUUCCGGGUCCCUGUCCUGAGCCGGGCGUGGCCACCUUGUGUCUUUCAGGUGGUGUAUAAGGAGGCCGAGAAGAGCCCACAGCUGGGACUGGGCUGCCUCUCCUUCCCGCCCCCCAGGGCCGGGGCCGGCCCUCUCCCGAGCUCAGAGAGUAAAUGUAAGUAGCACAUGUGAUGUCAUUUGUUUUCCUUUUUUAAUGCAAGAUUCCUCGUUGUCCAGAUAAACUUCGGAUGUUCCUUCUGUUUAAAAAAAAAAAACACUUUUUUUCCUUUCCAUGCUUCCAGCCAGCGUGCCCCUCAGCCUGUGGGCUGGAGGUUGACUGGGGUCUGAAUUGCACAGUGGGCCGUGAAGGUGCAGCUUCUGUUACUGAAUAUGAGCCCUGGAGACCCGGAUCUGACAGCGGGAGCUCCGAGGGGAUGGAUGUUUUUCAAAGAAACACUUUUCCGUGGGUGGUGCUCAGAGUGGGUCUGGAAGCCGGCGGUGCUCCUGAGCGCUGUCUCCGGCUUGAGGCCCGGUUCUGAUGCAGCCUCUUGACUCUGGGCAUUUCCUAUGUGUCUGUUUCCUCAUCGCUGAAAUGGGCAUAGUAAAAGCACCCACCCCACAGGGGCAUGAGGGCAUCUGAAGGUUGCAGGUAGAGGAAGCGGUGCCCCGAGUGCCGACGGGCCCACCCCGGGGCUCGGUGUGUGCUCAGGAUGGGGGUCAGGACAGGUGCAGCCUGGCACACAGGAGGCGCUCCCCAGGAGCCCAGGGGCGUCCUUGCUCCACAGCCCCUGCUUCUGCUGUGAUGAUGGUUCUUCCACAGCCGGAAAGUCUAAGGGUACUGACGCUGAGGUGGAAGGGAUUGUGAACUCAGAUGCUGGUAGUCGACAGAAAAGUGCUGAGGAGUUGGAGCUGCUGAGAUUGCAGCUAGGACCUGUCCAUGUCCCUCUCCAGUCAGCCCCUGGCACGUGGGGUCCACCCCCCACCUAGUAGGGCCUGGCAGGUGAUGGUGCCACUCUCAUCCGGGGCACUUGCGGGCAGGCCCCUCGCUGUGGCUGCCAGGCUUUGCUUAGCUCUUCCUGCCCUUGGGCCGCACUUUCCUCCCCUUUGAACAGAGGAGCUGGGUUCGCGAUGCCCGAUGCAGGCACAGCAGCCUCUCGGCCGCGUGCGUACUUCCCGAAAGGGUGACAGUGGCGUGUUCUUCCUGUUGGUGUUCUAGAUGAGAUCGCCUCUGUCCCAGUCUCCUUACAGACACUGAAACCUGUUACCGACAGAGCAAACCCGAAAAUCGGCAUAGGAAUGCUGGCAUUUAGUCCUGACAGCUACUUCCUGGCGACAAGGAACGGUCAGUUGUGCUGACGCAGGUGCUGUCUCACCCCUUACUGUGUCCUGUGGCCCCAGGUGUAGAAGCGACUGGAAAAGAAAAUGAAGUUGGGGGUUUCCGACACGUCACCUCCUUUCACGUUUCUGCAGUAGCCGAGGUGCUCACAGAAGCUCCUUGGAGGCGCUGGGCCUUUGUCCUGCAGCAGCCGCAGGCCGGCGCAUGAGUCAGGAGGCCUCCACCCUGCUCACUUGCUCCGCUCUGCUGAGUAGAAAGCAGGGCUGGGCACACUGCAGCCCGUCUUUUGUUAAGAGUUUCUCCAUUUGUAAAGGGCUAAAAAAAAAAAAAAAAAAAA